rnacentral:lncRNA from 1 species
UCUAAGAUUAUCUUACUUCCAAAGGAAAAAGGAGUGAUGACUGCAGUGAUUGGGCCACUGAAGGAGCCUGUCCAGAGAAACAAGGAUCCAGAUUCUUGCCAAUGCCCAGACAGACGGUGGUCCCUGCUUGAGGAAAGGAGCACUCAGUGUGGGUCCUGCUACCUCCUGAAUCCUUUUCCACCUUCUGUGGCACCUGCUAUUUUGCUGCUGAGGUUUCUUCUGGGCCUAUAUGACAGCCUGUAAUUUUGAG